UCGAGAAUCUUCCGCAAUGGGCGAAAGCCUGACGGAGCGACGCCGCGUGAUUGAUGAAGUCCCUCUGGGACGUAAAAAUCUUUUAUGAGAUACUAAGUUUAUUGAAGAGCUCAUGAAUAAGGGGUUGCUAAACUCGUGCCAGCAGCAGCGGUAAUACGAGUGCCCCAAGCGUUAUCCGGAAUCAUUGGGCGUAAAGGGUGUGUAGGUGGUCGUGUUAGUCUGUCGUUAAAACCUGGGGCUCAACCUCAGACAAGCGAAGGAAACGGCACAACUAGAGGAUGCGAGGGGUCUGUGGAACUCAUGGAGUAGGGGUGAAAUCCGUUGAUAUCAUGGGGAACACCAAAAGCGAAGGCAGCAGACUGGAGCAUUCCUGACACUGAAACACGAAAGCGUGGGUAGCGAAUGGGAUUAGAUACCCCCGUAGUCC
rnacentral:rRNA from 1 species